rnacentral:rRNA from 1 species
UACGUAGGGUGCAAGCGUUGUCCGGAAUUAUUGGGCGUAAAGAGCUCGUAGGCGGUCUGUCGCGUCGGCUGUGAAAACCCGGGGCUCAACCCCGGGCCUGCAGUCGAUACGGGCAGACUAGAGUGCGGUAGGGGAGACUGGAAUUCCUGGUGUAGCGGUGAAAUGCGCAGAUAUCAGGAGGAACACCAGUGGCGAAGGCGGCGACCUGGGCCAAUAUUGACGCUGAGGUGCGAAAGCGUGGGGAGCAAACAGG